rnacentral:rRNA from 1 species
UGCGUAGACGGUUAUGUAAGUCGGGUGUGAAAGCCCCGGGCUCAACCUGGGAAUGCCAUUCGAGACUGCGUAGCUAGGGUGCGGAAGAGGGAAGCGGAAUUUCAGGUGUAGCGGUGAAAUGCGUAGAUAUCUGAAGGAACACCAGUGGCGAAAGCGGCUUCCUGGUCCAGCACCGACGUUCAGGCACGAAAGCGUGGGGAGCAAACA